rnacentral:misc_RNA from 1 species
GAUGAAGAACGCAGCAAAAUGCGAUAAGUAAUGUGAAUUGCAGAAUUCAGUGAAUCAUCGAAUCUUUGAACGCACAUUGCGCCCGCUGGUAUUCCGGCGGGCAUGCCUGUUCGAGCGUCAUUUCAACCCUCAAGCCCCCGGGUUUGGUGUUGGGGAUCGGCUCUGCCCUUCUGGGCGGUGCCGCCCCCGAAAUACAUUGGCGGUCUCGCUGCAGCCUCCAUUGCGUAGUAGCUAACACCUCGCAACUGGAACGCGGCGCGGCCAUGCCGUAAAACCCCAACUUCUGAAUGUUGACCUCGGAUCAGGUAGGAAUACCCGCUGAACUUAAGAAUAUCAAUAAGCGGAGGA